UCUCGGGAACAUGUUGGCGAACCUGAUUAAAAUUGGCGGUAAGGUAAAGCAAGUUGCAACAUGUUUCUUUGUCGUCGGCGUCCCCGCGCCACUGGCCACUUGCAAGCAGUGAAGAGUGAAAUAAAUAAGCGAAAGUUCGAACCCGCUUCACGAUAUCUACUAUCAGUUAAUUCCGCCCGCAUUUUAAUCUUAUCGCCCCAUCCUCACGUCCUUUACCAACGGAGCUUCUUUCAAGAUCGUUAUCACUCUUCAACUGUCGUGAUUGUGCCUUUCUUUGAUCGACGAAUCUGUGACUCUUGCCCAGCAUGGUAGAAAUGACGGUUCUGUAGCUUCGUCAUCCGUGAGUUUUCCAUCUCCUUAUCUUCGAUACCCGUAUUAUCCUGAGCAUCUUUAUUUCGUUGACAUCCUCGGCAGUCGAUUCCCUCCGUUUCCUGACUCGAAAUGGAGUUCAGCAACAUCCCUGAAGUACUGCAGGAAGUGGUCAAAGACAAUCAAUUGAUCAUCCAACAUCUCCCCCAGCCACCAGCCUUCAUUGCCAUGUUCAUGGACACUCCUGAUGAGGAUGUAUAUUUUAUUCACAAGAAGCCCAUUAAAGAAGAAACGUUCAAUGCUGUUGAUUCAGUCUUCGAAAAUACUUGCCACUCUCCAAACAAUUCUGUGAGCUACAUAGGCCAACCCUUGGAAUGUCCAUUCAGUCCUUCGCACAACAUCACUGUAGCAAGUGAUGGAGAUCUCACAGAAAUUUUGAAUAAAACAAUGAUGGAACCGACCAAACUCUCUGUUGCCAGGAAGUGUGGCUGUGUGUUCACUUUGAAGUCGGAUAGAAAAGUGCCUUUGUGGAUGUUCUGUGAUGCUGCAGACAAAGAGAAGACUUUCUUAUUGAGUAUCAGUUAUAAAGAUGGAUGGUGCUCAAGAUCAUGGGCUCAUCUAAACAGCUGGAACUUCAAUGAUGGAGAUAUUGAUGAGCUCAUCACCAAACAUUUAAAACAAUUUAAUCUCGGCAAAAGUAAGAGUCGACUGCGGGUAACAAGCACGUACAGUCCUGAUGAGGAUACUGUCAAUCCUGCAUUGCUAAAAAUUACAUGGACAACUCCAUCCAUUGACAUACCAUUCUCAGUGGCCAAAACUAAUCUUUUGAUUAACUUCAAAGUUGGUUUUAAUGGAAGUAUUAUUAAGCCGAUUUGGGAUCAGUUGCAGCUUUUGCAAAAGUUUUUGGAUGUAAUCCUCAUGAAGCAAGAAGUUGAUCCUGAAAACCCUGGAUCAAGUAAGAGUCUCUUCAUUGAAUUCAAUGACUCAGACGUUAGCCCACACACUGUUGAAGAAAGUUUAACAGCUCUUCUUAAAGCCGCCAAUCAUGCAGUGCCGUAUCUUAGUAAAAAUCGCUUGGAGGCUGAAAAAAAGGAAAAGAAUAGUUUCAUCCGUGUUGUCGAAGACACUGUCUCAAAUCAGAGGCAAGCCAUGGAUUUCACUGAUGAGAUUUGGAAUAUUCUGAAAGAUUGCAGCACGUAUCAUGAGCUACAGAAGUAUAUGGAAAUGAUCUUCCAUCAAAUAAGAAAAGGAACGUUGAAGCCAGUUAUCCAAAGAUCCAAUGGAACUAGAUUAGCCCACAAGAUUCGGUGUUUGAUAGCAGACUCAGCCUACGAUUUUGAAAUCACUGUGAAUCCAUUAGAAUACCUUAUAGAGCUGGGCAUUGAGAAGCUGAAGAACGAUUUCCUCAGUAUUUUCUCUACCUUAAUCACACAUCAUGGCAAACUCUGCGUGCCUUCACUACCAUCGUUCAAAGAUUUUAAAAGUUCUGAUAUCAGCUGGACUGAAGUGUGUUCUGGUUGGUUGGCUUGGCUUGGACGGAUGUGCACAUCCCUAGAAGUUUUCAUUUUAACCGAACUGAAGCUGAAUCUCAAGUCUCAAGGGAUGGAUCCUACAUGUAUGGCCAUUCUCAAUCAAAUUCUGGAAAGAUUUCUUGCAUCAAAAUCGGAGAUGUGUUCCUUGCCGUGGCUCCUGAAUAACAUGAACCAUCACUGUGAGGUAGUGGUGGACACAUCUGCAGUUAAAGAUGUUGUCAAACAUAAACAGUUCCAAGAGUGGAGACUUACGCUUACCAAUGAAGUAGAUAAUGAAAUAUAUAGCAGUUCCUUCCUCUGUUGUAAACCAAGCAUGUUUCCUGGGAGUAUCAUUGAACCUGAUAUUGGAAAUUUAACCCUAGAUUGUACCACAGUAAUGACUCCAACAUCGUACAUAUGUUCCUCUCUUCACUCAGCCUCCAGCUGUUUCAACGCCAUUUCAGUUGAUGGUGAAUAGUCCAAACACAACUCUAAAAGCGUCAAAAUUCCAAAUGGCUCAAAAAUACGAAGUUCUUCAGGGCUUGCAG
rnacentral:lncRNA from 1 species